rnacentral:misc_RNA from 1 species
GAUGAAGAACGCAGCGAAAUGCGAUAAGUAGUGUGAAUUGCAGAAUUCCGUGAAUCAUCGAAUCUUUGAACGCACCUUGCGCCCUUUGGCCAUUCCGAAGGGCAUGCCUGUUUGAGUAUCAUGAACACCUCAACUCUUCAUGGUUUUCCGUGAUGAGCUUGGACUUUGGGGGUCUUGCUGGCCUAUGGUCAGCUCCUCUAAAAUAAAUCAGCUUGCCAGUGUUUGGUGGGUAUCACAGGUGUGAUAACUAUCUACGCUUGUGGUUUUCCACCAGGUAACCUUCAGCAGUGGAGGUUCGCUGGAGCUCACAGAUGUGUCUCUCCUCAGUGAGGACAGCUCUUUGAAUGUUUGAUCUCAAAUCAGGUAGGACUACCCGCUGAACUUAAGCAUAUCAAUAAGCGGAGGA